rnacentral:rRNA from 1 species
UGGGGAAUUUUGGACAAUGGGCGAAAGCCUGAUCCAGCAAUGCCGCGUGUGUGAAGAAGGCCUUCGGGUUGUAAAGCACUUUUGUCCGGAAAGAAAUCCUUGGCUCUAAUACAGUCGGGGGAUGACGGUACCGGAAGAAUAAGCACCGGCUAACUACGUGCCAGCAGCCGCGGUAAUACGUAGGGUGCAAGCGUUAAUCGGAAUUACUGGGCGUAAAGCGUGCGCAGGCGGUUUGCUAAGACCGAUGUGAAAUCCCCGGGCUCAACCUGGGAACUGCAUUGGGUGACUGGCAGGCUAGAGUAUGGCAGAGGGGGGUAGAAUUCCACGUGUAGCAGUGAAAUGCGUAGAGAUGUGGAGGAAUACCGAUGGCGAAGGCAGCCCCCUGGGCCAAUACUGACGCUCAUGCACGAAAGCGUGGGGAGCAAACAGGAUUAGAUACCCUGGUAGUCCACGCCCUAAAACGAUGUCAACUAGUUGUUGGGGAUUCAUUUCCUUAGUAACGUAGCUAACGCGUGAAGUUGACCGCCUGGGGAGUACGGUCGCAAGAUUAAAACUCAAAUGAAUUGACGGGGUCAUAGCUGUUUCCU